GAAUGAAAGUGAUGAAUAUAAGGAAUAGUGAUGAUCAAUUAUUUUUCAAGUGAUCCAAAAACAUAUCCUUAUUUCGCUACGUUCUUUCUGAUUCAUUC